CAUCAGCAAGAAAUGACAAGUCAUAAAUUAAUGAAAAACAGAGCGACACGGCGUCUGUGCUCACAGAGGCCACUGCUUAUAUCAACUUCCUCCAUGAUCAGCUGAAGGUUCUCAGUGCUCCCUACCUUCACUCUUCAGGCGGUAGAUUGCAACAAGGCGAAGAUUUCUACAGCUUGAAAAGCAGAGGACUCUGCUUGAUUCCAGUAGCUGCAACAGUACAGAUAGCUAGAAGCAAUGGUGCAGAUAUAUGGGCUCCUAUUACCAAAUAGCUUCUUCUCCCCUUCGUUAACGGCCCCCGAGAUAAUCUAACAAUAUUCUUCAAUGAUUCUGACCAUAUCUAUCUAUUCCUCUCUCUCUCUCUCUCUCUCUCUCUCUCUCUCUUUCUCUCUCUCUCUCUCUAUAAAUAUUUAUAUAGAUCAUAUAUAGCGGUUAUUACUUGGUUGUAUCAGCUGAGAGAAAAUGGAAUUGAAACGACUCAGUUGUUUUAGCUCUGUAUCUACUACUGCUCAUAAUUGAGUGUUUGUAUUGAGGUUGU